AUGGCAGCAACUUUGAUACCAGGA
rnacentral:siRNA from 1 species